rnacentral:lncRNA from 1 species
AUCGUUCUGUAUGAGAGCUCUAGUCUCAAUCUUUGGUAUGAUCCGACUGCAAAGUCAGUACACCCCCAAUCACAUGGUCAGAAGAUUUUGAUCAUGGGGUCGAUCAAUUUUCGAGUUAAAGGUCGGGAAGAGCUGUUGUGAGGGGUUUGCCUGCUUUGGCCACCAAUCGCUCUUCAAUGUCUAUGGCUGUUUCGCCUAGUCAUCUAUGAAUGCUCGGUCUUGUUUCGAAGAAAAUGUUAUGGAUGGUGGAUUACCUCCACAAUAAAAGCUUUUUGCUCUAAAAAAAGGAUAUGGAAGUUGAUUAUGGCUGUCAAAUCUGAACUUAGA